rnacentral:misc_RNA from 1 species
UCGUAACAAGGUCUCCGUUGGUGAACCAGCGGAGGGAUCAUUACCGAGUUUACAACUCCCAAACCCCUGUGAACAUACCAAUUGUUGCCUCGGCGGAUCAGCCCGCUCCCGGUAAAACGGGACGGCCCGCCAGAGGACCCCUAAACUCUGUUUCUAUAUGUAACUUCUGAGUAAAACCAUAAAUAAAUCAAAACUUUCAACAACGGAUCUCUUGGUUCUGGCAUCGAUGAAGAACGCAGCAAAAUGCGAUAAGUAAUGUGAAUUGCAGAAUUCAGUGAAUCAUCGAAUCUUUGAACGCACAUUGCGCCCGCCAGUAUUCUGGCGGGCAUGCCUGUUCGAGCGUCAUUUCAACCCUCAAGCCCUCGGGUUUGGUGUUGGGGAUCGGCGAGCCCUUGCGGCAAGCCGGCCCCGAAAUCUAGUGGCGGUCUCGCUGCAGCUUCCAUUGCGUAGUAGUAAAACCCUCGCAACUGGUACGCGGCGCGGCCAAGCCGUUAAACCCCCAACUUCUGAAUGUUGACCUCGGAUCAGGUAGGAAUACCCGCUGAACCUAAGCAUAUCAAU